rnacentral:rRNA from 1 species
UACGUAGGUGGCAAGCGUUGUCCGGAAUUAUUGGGCGUAAAGCGCGCGCAGGUGGUUUCUUAAGUCUGAUGUGAAAGCCCACGGCUCAGCCGUGGAGGGUCAUUGGAAACUGGGGAACUUGAGUGCAGGAGAGAAGAGUGGAAUUCCACGUGUAGCGGUGAAAUGCGUAGAGAUGUGGAGGAACACCAGUGGCGAAGGCGACUCUUUGGCCUGUAACUGACACUGAGGCGCGAAAGCGUGGGGAGCAAACAGG